GACCAUCCAUUAAAAAAAAAAACCUAACUAAUAAAUUGCUCACACUCAGAACUUUGUUUCUCAGUUCACCUUAAUUUCACUCUAAGAGUGUGAUGACCAUGAAGGGUUUGAGGCCUCAGAGGAACCUCUUAGGGAGGGCCCCUCAGGGGAUUCAGUUGACAUUUUCGCUGUGGGGAUUUCUCCAAAGAGGAUUGCACCAGAGUCCUGACCACCCCGCCUCCCAGUCCCAAUGUUUCCAAGCCAAGAGUCAUCAAAGUCCAGCAGCAAGACAAAAGGCAAGACAUAUGGCAAUGGCCUGGGAUGCUGUGAGUGACCUUGGCCUCUUCCAUAGCUGACCAAGCUCCUGAGCAUCUGCUCCAGCUUCCUUUCCAGCCAUCGGAACAAUUUGUUUUCAUCUGCCCAUUCCACGCUUAUGAUAAGCAUGAGCACAGGACAUAAUCAGACUUAAACAUAAACUGGUUGAUUGUGUUUAUAGAUCCUACACUUUUCUGGUACUAAAAAGCUGCUGAUUUUGUUUUAGGAGAAAAAAAAAAGAUUAUGUGUUGUCCUGAUGACCUCUUGACAUGUAGAGAGAUUGCCCUCGCCUGCAGAGAUGGUCAGCACUGCUUAGCUUACAGGAACUGAUGCUGAGUGAAAUGAGCAGAACCAGGAGAUCAUUGUACCUGACAACGAGGAGAUUAUAAGAUGGUCAAUUUUGAUGGACGUGGCUUUUUCCAACAAUGAAAUGAUUGAGACCAGUUCCAAUGAUCUUGUGAUAAAGAGAGCCAUCUGCACCCAGAGAGAGGACUGUGGGAAAUGAAUGGAAAUCACAACAUAGCAUUUUCACCCUUUUUGUUAUUGUUCGCUUGCAUUUUGUUUUCUUUCUCAUUAUUUUUCCUUUUUGAUCUGAUUUUUCUUAUGUAGCAAGAUAAUUGCAUAAAUACCUAUGCCUAUUUUGGAUUUAACAUAUAUUUUUAUCCUGUUUAACAUAUAUUGGAUUACUUGCCAUCUAAGGGAGGAGGGGAGGGGAAGGGGGGAAAUUGGGACACAAGGUUUUGCAAGGAUUAAUAUUGAAAAAUUAUCCAUGCAUAUGUU